AACGGCCAUACCAUGCUGAAUAUACCGGUUCUCGUUAGAUCACCGAAGUCAAGCAUCAUUGGGCGCGGUCAGUACUUGGGUGGGUGACCACCUGGGAACACCGUUGCCG
rnacentral:rRNA from 1 species